UGAUUUUCGGACACUGCAGUGUCCGGACACUGCAUGAAAAACCGGUUUUUUUAAGGUUUUUUGAUUGAGCCGGUUUUUUGCUAAUUUAUGGUUUUACUAAAAUAUCCUUUCCUUAAAUUUCUCAACUACUUUUAAUCUUUUCCUAAAUAUAUUUUAUUUACAUUUUUAUUUUCUGUAAAUUUCGUUUUUUUUUUUGCCAUUUUUUUUCGAAAAAUAUUUUUUAUUUUUAAAUUGUUUUUUUAUUUUUUUAUCGUUUUUUUAUUUUUCUUUUAAAAUAUUCUUUCCUUAAAUUUCUCAACUACUUUUAAUCUUUUCCUAAAUAUAUUUUAUUUACAUUUUUAUUUUCUGUAAAUUUCGUUUUUUUAUUGCCAUUUUUUUUUCGAAAAAAUAUUUUUUAUUUUUAAAUUGUUUUAUUAUUUUUUUUAUCGUUUUUUUAUUUUUCUUUUAAAAUAUUCUUUCCUUAAAUUUCUCAACUACUUUUAAAAUUUAUAUUUUUUUCGAAAUUAAUAUUUUAGUUGUUUUAAGAGUAAAUUUUUAUUUUUUUCCAAAAUUAUGUUUUAUUAAUUUGUUUCCAGAUUUUUUUUAUUAUUAUUAUUUAUUUUUCGAAAUAAAUAUUUUUUUCGAAAUUUAUUUUUUUCCGAAAUUAAUA
rnacentral:lncRNA from 1 species